rnacentral:rRNA from 1 species
GUAGGGAAUAUUGGGCAAUGGAUGCAAGUCUGACCCAACCAUCCCGCGUGCCGGAAGAAGGCCCUCAGGGUUGUAAACGGCUUUUGACGGUGAAGAAUCGACAGGAUGCGUCCUGUUUUGUCGGUAGCCGUUGAAUAAGCACCGGCUAACUCCGUGCCAGCAGCCGCGGUAAUACGGAGGGUGCGAGCGUUGUCCGGAUUUAUUGGGUUUAAAGGGUGCGUAGGCUGGAAGGUCAGUCAGCGGUGAAAAGCUGUCGCUUAACGAUAGUCUUGCCGCAGAUACUUCCUUUCUUGGAUGAGGAGGAGGCCACUGGAACGGAUGGUGUAGCGGUGAAAUGCAUAGAUAUCAUCCAGAACACCGAUUGCGAAGGCAGGUGGCUGUACCUUAAUCGACGCUGAUGCACGAAAGCAUGGGGAGCAAACAGGAUUAGAUACCCUGGUAGUCC